GGGAAGGAGGGCGAGAAGAGCGGCGCUCCGGGCUCCCCUGCGGCCAGGGGACAGACGGCGCGGCCGCCCCAGGCGGUGGAGUGCGAGGAUGAGCAGCGGGGAUGGUGGGGGCCGGGCGGGCGCCAUCAGUUACGCCCUUCCCUCCAUCCCUUCCAAUAAACUCCCGGACUUGCGUUUUAUCAGCCGUGGCGCUUACGGUACCGUGUCCGCCGCCCGCCACGCCGACUGGAGGGUCCCGGUGGCCCUGAAAUGCCUGCAGGGGCCGCUGCUGGACAGUGAUAGAAACCACCUUCUAAAAGAAGCAGAGAUAUUACACAAAGCCAGGUUUAGUUACAUUCUGCCAAUUUUGGGAAUUUGCAACGAGCCUGAAUUUCUGGGGAUAGUAACAGAAUACAUGACAAAUGGGUCAUUAAACCAGCUUUUACAUGGGAAAGAUCUAUAUCCUGACAUUCCCUGGUGCCUGAGAUUCCGCAUUCUUUAUGAAAUUGCUUUGGGAGUAAACUAUUUGCACAACAUGAAUCCUCCAUUGCUGCACCAUGACUUGAAAACCCAGAAUAUUUUGCUGGAUGAUGAGUUUCAUGUCAAGAUUGCAGAUUUUGGCAUGUCAAAAUGGCGUGUCAUAUCCAUGUCACAAUCACGAAGUGAAACCUCUUUACCAGAAGGAGGGACAAUUAUCUACAUGCCACCUGAAGAUUACAAUCCCAGUCAGAAAACCCGUGCAAGUGUAAAACACGAUAUCUACAGUUAUGCAAUUAUUAUGUGGGAAGUGAUGUCAAGGAAACAGCCAUUCGAAGAAGUUAUAAACCCCUUGCAGAUAAUGUAUAGUGUGUCACAAGGACAGCGACUAGACUUAAGUGAAGAAAGUCUAUCAAUGGACAUUCCUCAUCGAGUGAUCAUCAUAAGAUUGAUAGAAAGUGGAUGGGCACAAAAUCCAGAUGAAAGACCAUCGUUCUUAAAAUGUUUAAUAGACCUUGAGCCAGUGCUGCGAACAUUUGAUGAAAUAGCUAUGCUGGAAGCAGUAAUUCUAUUAAAGAGAUCAAAGUCACUAUAUGAAUCACGAUUUAUUUACAAGAGUGGAAAGCAAGCAGAUGUGGAGCAGAUAUCACUAAAUAUACCUGUGAAUCCCCACGAGGAAACAUAUUCUGGCUCCAUACAGUGUGAUGCGCUUCCUCUUCGGAGCAUCUCUCCAGAUAUAUCAAGACUCGAGUCUGUUCCCAAGUGUAAUAUCUUCUCAUCAGAUGGAAGUUCUGGGGGUCUACAGUCUCUCAGCUGUAAGAGCACAGAUGAAAAUAUCUCUGUAACUCAGAGCGCCAAACUUCUCGUGCAUCCAUACAGUUGUUUUCCCUCACCUGACAAGAGUAAUUCAGAUGCCUCAAAUUCUGCAUCAUGUAUGCUGCGGUCAUCACCAAUUCCUUCAGCACCAGGUCGGGUUGAACAUUGGAACAGGUUCCCACGGAAUCUAUAGAAGUCCCAUCACUUGGAGAUGUUCAAAAUUCAGCUGGACAAGGCACUGAGCAACCUGAGUUAUCCUUGAAGUUUGCCCCACUUUGAGCAGGCCAUUAGACAAGAAGACCUCCUUGAGGGUUCCUUCUCACCUAAAUUAUUAGAUUUUGUUUUGGAAACCAUACAACGGAACGUAGCUCAUCAAUGGAUCCAAAGCAAAAGAGAAGAAAUUAUUGAUCAGAUGACCGAAGCAUGUUUGAAUCAGUCACUGGAUGCUCUUCUAUCAAGAUUUUUACUCAUGAAAGAAGACUAUGAACUUAUAAGCACGAAACCUACAAGGACAUCAAAAGUACGACAACUGCUUGAUACCUCAGAUAGCCAAGGAGAGGAAUUUGCCAGAAUUAUAAUACAAAAGUUGAAAGAUAACAAACAGCUAGGACUUCAACCUUAUCCAGACAUUGUGCCAAAUUCUCUAAGACUGCGUCUUUAAAUUUAUUCUUUCUAUAUGAAACCAUGUGAAUAUUCCUUACAACACGAUUCUUGUUUCUAUAUAGCGGUUUUAUAUAUGUACUGGUUUGUCUUUACUAUGCCUUUGUAGAGUCUCAGAAAUGACACUGAAUUCAUCUAGACUGCAUUUGGUGAAAUGUGUCAGAAAUGACACUGAAUGCAUCUAGACUGCAUUCAUCUAGACUGUAAUUUAUUAGUUGGAGUGCAGCCAUAAUGCCAAACACUAGACACUUGUUGACUCAGUUCAUAAAAGUGUUUUGUAUAUACAUGACAAAGAAAAAAUAUUAAAUGUUCCCUGGUUUACA